UGAGGAACAUGACCUUCGGCGGGGGAUAGCCGGCCCAACGGCCGGGUAAUACCGCGUACGACCAUUUGGGGACAUCCCCGAGUGGUGAAAGCAGCAAUGCGCCGAUGGAGUGCCUCGCGGCCUAUCAGCUAGUUGGUGGGUAAUGGCUCACCAAGGCGACGACGGGUAGCUGGUCUGAGAGGAUGGCCAGCCACAUUGGGACUGAGACACGGUCCAGACUCCGUACGGGAGCAG
rnacentral:rRNA from 1 species